UGAUGAUAAAACAGGUCCGUUAACUAUUGUUAUCCGAGCCGAGUUAUCUAAAAUACGAACCCUCGACUCGAGAUUCAUUACACCACGACGAUUUGUUGUUCUCUACCUCUGAAAGUCAGAGUCGAGAAAGUUAUAAAGUAAGAUGAGCAAGAAAUAAAAGAGUAAAAAAAAAGAAAGAUUGUGGAUGCGCAGUUGUAUGAGAAUAAUUUCAGUAGAGGAGGAAACUAUAUGGAGAGGAGCAAGCAAGAAGCUUCACCCGAGAAAGUAAAUUCAUCUUACUGUCAGCAGAAAGAAUAAGUCUGAUAAGAAGAAAGAAGGUGAUGAUGAUGAGAUCAACAGCAGAUUGAGUUUGGGAACACUUUCCUUCCAGCCUAACUUCCUGUUUCCGGUUUAGGUACGUUCACCUAGAACCUGAGAUUUACCUGGAUCCAAAGAAAUAUGAGCCUUCAAGAUGGGAGUUGUUGUUGCAAAAGAGUAGCUAAACACGGUCAAGUUCAUUCUACAAGGAUACAUGCCAAAACCAGGUACAUUCCUUCCUUUUCAUUUAUGAAGCGAUCUUUGUGCCGGGAACGAUCUUGCGAAGCUCGAGAUUUCCAUUUUUCUUCAUCUUUGACCACUGAAGAUGGGGUUAGCUACUGUCGCUUUGAAGCUGUGGGUUAUGACUUCAACACUAUCCAGCUGAAUCAGCUGGUGAGAAGGCUUCUGUCUUGCUUUGAUCCCAACAAAUUCUCUGUAGAGUGUCGCUGUGAGCGCGUACAAGCCGGAAAUUAGUGUAUACUUGGAAGAUUAUGGGUUUAGAGAGAGGACAUUUGAGUCUCUAGGAGAAGAGGGUAGACCAGUGAUGUAUCAUACGUUUGAGAAGCUUGGCAAGUAGUGUGCGUCGCCUAGAUCCACCUUGAAGUAGGACUGGAGCAGGCUGAGCAGCAAUAACAAAGGGACACGAGGGAAUCUAGCAGAAUUUUAUCUAAACUAUUUUCGAUCUUUUUGUUUUUGCAUUUUUUAAAGUAGUGAAUAAUGAUUUCUGAAAUUAAGGUAUUCCGUUCACAAGCAUGUGUGUUGUACAAUUUCGCUUUAAUACAGUAUAUGGAAUACUAUUAUGAUU